AGUUACAAAGACUCUCUGAAGACUGUGUUACUGACUUCUCAGAGCCUGUAAAGUUCCUGGACAGAGAGAGUGAGCGAGCGAGACAGGACAGUAAUAAAAAAUAAAAAAUAAAUUUAAUUGCCCACUUUGUUUUUAUUAUGAUUUUUUUGCUGUAGUUGCUGUUAGGAAGAAUUAAAUAACUCUGAAAUAACAGAAAUAAUCUGGUAAAGUGAUGUAAUUAAUGUGGCCAUUCAACAAAGUAGUGGAAUAAUAACAUUUAACGAACAGACAGAGUAUCAGAUCAGUAACAGACUAAGAUCAGACACGUAACAGAUAUAAGAUCAGACACGUAACAGAUAUAAGAUCAGACACGUAACAGAUAUAAGAUCAGAUUGGUAACAGAUAUAAGAUCAGACACGUAACAGAUAUAAGAUCAGACACGUAACAGAUAUAAGAUCAGACACGUGACAGAUAGAAGAUCAGACACAAGAUCAGACACGUAACAGAUAUAAGAUCAGAUCAGUGACAGAGAGAAGAUCAGAUCAGUGACAGAGAGAAGAUCAGACACGUAACAGAUAUAAGAUCAGAUCAGUGACAGAGAGAAGAUCAGAUCAGUGACAGAUAGAAGAUCAGACACGUAACAGAUAUAAGAUCAGAUCAGUGACAGAUAGAAGAUCAGAUCAGUGACAGACAGAAGAUCAGACACGUAACAGAUAUAAGAUCAGAUCAGUGACAGAGAGAAGAUCAGAUCAGUGACAGAGAGAAGAUCAGACACGUAACAGAUAUAAGAUCAGAUUGGUAACAGAUAGAAGAUCAGACAGAAGAUCAGACACGUAACAGAUAUAAGAUCAGAUCAGUGACAGAGAGAAGAUCAGAUCAGUGACAGAGAGAAGAUCAGAUCAGUGACAGAGAGAAGAUCAGAUCAGUGACAGACAGAAGAUCAGAUCAGUGACAGAGAGAAGAUCAGACACGUGACAGACAGAAGAUCAGAUCAGUGACAGAGAGAAGAUCAGAUCAGUGACAGAGAGAAGAUCAG
ensembl:lncRNA